ensembl:snoRNA
UUUCCAAUUUGUCUACCACAUUUUUCCUAAUAAUAGACUUUAAUGGCUAUGUUCGUGUGAUAGAUUAAUCCUGCCAUGAGCUGAAGGAGGAGGAUUUAUCUGUGGCAGAACAGAAAACU